rnacentral:rRNA from 1 species
UACGGGGGGGGCAAGCGUUGUUCGGAAUUACUGGGCGUAAAGGGCUCGUAGGCGGCCAACUAAGUCAUACGUGAAAUCCCUCGGCUUAACCGGGGAACUGCGUCUGAUACUGGAUGGCUUGAGUUCGGGAGAGGGAUGCGGAAUUCCAGGUGUAGUGGUGAAAUGCGUAGAUAUCUGGAGGAACACCGGUGGCGAAGGCGGCAGCCUGGACCGAUACUGACGCUGAGGAGCGAAAGCCAGGGGAGCAAACGGG